UACUGCCCCAUAGUCUGGGAUACCACUUGGAACAGGUGCUAAUACCGGAUAAGAAAGCAGAUCGCAUGAUCAGCUUUUAAAAGGCGGCGUAAGCUGUCGCUAUGGGAUGGCCCCGCGGCGCAUUAGCUAGUUGGUAAGGUAAAGGCUUACCAAGGCGAUGAUGCAUAGCCGAGUUGAGAGACUGAUCGGCCACAUUGGGACUGAGACACGGCCCAA
rnacentral:rRNA from 1 species